rnacentral:rRNA from 1 species
GUACACGCUGUGACUAGCAUAUCAAUAAGCGGAGGAAAAGAAACUAACAAGGAUUCCCUUAGUAACGGCGAGUGAAGCGGGAAGAGCUCAAAUUUGAAAUCUUCAAGGUUUUACCUUGACGAAUUGUAGUUUAAAGAAGUGUUUUCUGCUGAAGUUUUGGUAAAAGUUCUUUGGAAUAGGACAUCAUAGAGGGUGAGAAUCCCGUAUUUGACCAUUAUUUUCAGCUUUGUGAUACACUUUCAAAGAGUCGGAUCGUUUGGGAAUGCAGUCCAAAAUGGGUGGUAAAUUUCAUCUAAAGCUAAAUAUUGGCGAGAGACCGAUAGCGAACAAGUACCGUGAGGGAAAGAUGAAAAGAACUUUGAAAAGAGAGUUAAACAGUACGUGAAAUUGUCAAAAGGGAAGCGUUUCGACACCAGUGUUGUUUUCUCGAAAAUCAAUUAAAAAUGGCUCCGAUUUUGUAUUGUUGAGACCUUAAAAGCUCACUGUACAUUUUUCGUGUCUUUUUUAAUGCACUUUUCGUUUAACAAGUCAACAUCAGUUUCUUUUGUUGUAAAAGGGUCAUUGGAAGGUGGCUUUCUUUUCGGAGAAAGUGUUUAUAGCCUUUGGCCUCUGCAAUCGGAGAGACUGAGGUCUGCAGCGUAGACUCUUCGGGGUUAGAUACAUUUGUGCUAAGUUAUAGCUUUUUAUAGACAACUUGUUGACUAUAAUUAGUCUUGUAGCUUACUCGCUUAUGCUAUUUUACCUACGCUUAGGAUGUUGAUCUACAGAGCGAGAGU